rnacentral:rRNA from 1 species
UUGCCCUAGUAACGGCGAGUGAAGCGGCAACAGCUCAAAUUUGAAAUCUGGCGUCUUCGGCGUCCGAGUUGUAAUUUGCAGAGGGCGCUUUGGCAUUGGCAGCGGUCCAAGUUCCUUGGAACAGGACGUCACAGAGGGUGAGAAUCCCGUACGUGGUCGCUAGCCUUUACCGUGUAAAGCCCCUUCGACGAGUCGAGUUGUUUGGGAAUGCAGCUCUAAAUGGGAGGUAAAUUUCUUCUAAAGCUAAAUACUGGCCAGAGACCGAUAGCGCACAAGUAGAGUGAUCGAAAGAUGAAAAGCACUUUGGAAAGAGAGUUAAAAAGCACGUGAAAUUGUUGAAAGGGAAGCGCUUGCAGCCAGACUUGCCUGUAGUUGCUCAUCCGGGUUUCUACCCGGUGCACUCUUCUACGGGCAGGCCAGCAUCAGUUUGGGCGGUUGGAUAAAGGUCUCUGUCAUGUACCUCUCUUCGGGGAGAACUUAUAGGGGAGACGACAUGCAACCAGCCUGGACUGAGGUCCGCGCAUCUGCUAGGAUGCUGGCGUAAUGGCUGUAAGCGGCCCGUCUUGAAACACGGACCAAGGAGUCUAACAUCUAUGCGAGUGUUUGGGUGUCAAGCCCGAGCGCGUAAUGAAAGUGAACGGAGGUGGGAACCUUUCGGGGUGCACCAUCGACCGAUCCUGAUGUCUUCGGAUGGAUUUGAGUAAGAGCAUAGCUGUUGGGACCCGAAAGAUGGUGAACUAUGCUUGAAUAGGGUGAAGCCAGAGGAAACUCUGGUGGAGGCUCGCAGCGGUUCUGACGUGCAAAUC